GCGAAGAUUGGAGAAGGGAGAUCGAGAGGUAAAAGAGAAGAAAUGGCGUUGAAAGGAGAAAGAGAAGCACGCCAAGAUCGGCAGACGCUGCGAAAUCGGAGGACGUCGAUGUAGGUGUCGAGGCGUUUACCGAUGAUUGGCCAAAGUUCAGGAGGAAGAUCGGACCACCGUACACGGCUGUCUUCCAUGGCGGAGGCUUGACUUGAAUCCGAUUGGUCCAACAGAGAGACGAUAAGGAGAAG
rnacentral:misc_RNA from 1 species